AUUUUUAAUGUUUCAAUUCAUAUGCUCACGUUUGACAAGUUAAUUUUGAUUGCAUCAGUAAACAUAGAAAAAAACUAUAAGCCUAUACAAAUUGUUUACAUUAUAUCUGAUAACCAAAUGUUCACAGUACCAAACGAAAGACUCAGUAAAGGACUUCGAAUGCGUCGGAAAAAUAGAAAGGGCAGUCAUAGGACUUCAAUACAUUUUUUAUGGGUAACCAGAUGAUGGCCAUCUUUAGUUCUCUACUAAUUUUCUGCCAAUCGUGCGUUCCAUUGAUUUUUAUAUCCCAUUGCAACGUUGAACACUGGCUACUGAAGCUGUGUAAUUGACGCCAUGUACGAGCAUGUGUGCAAUGUGUUCAAUGUGUGCACUGUGCAGCAUAAAAAGUUGAUUAGAGCUCGCAUGGGAACAGCAGCGGCAGCCGGGUCCAACAAUUACUAACCCGAUGCCAACAUGGACAAAGGCACAUGGUCGAACAAAUUCUACGCUUUGUGGGCAAAUUAGCUGCACGAGAAAACAAAGCACCGCAUCGCAAUGCGAAUGCAAAUGCAAAUGCCAGGCCAGCGAUAAACGUGGAGCUGGAGCUGGAGCAGACGUCACUGACAACAUCAGAGAAAUGGAUGCCGCAUCGGUGGCCUUCAACGGAAGCGAAGGCAGCCGCCACAUUAGCAGCUCUUUUGGUCAUUACCUCUUUUUGUUGUAUGCCCUGUGCUGCCGCCACGCAUUUGGACAACAAAAGAUUGCCCGCUGGUUUUUGGACGCGCGCGUGCCUUGUGCGGCACUUUACCGUGUUUUACCAAACAAUGAAAACGCUUUUCAAUUGUUGUUGCUGCAGCUUCUGCUGUUUGGCUAACAGGCGCUGCCGAUGGCCCGUCACGUCUUGUCAUAUGCAUUCAAGCUAACACAAAAUUAGGACUUUCCAUUCUGAGCCUAUUUCAGAAAUGUCGUAUAUAAAAGCAUAAAUAAUGACAACGAAUU